UCACUCCAUCAAAACAUCUCCACCUCGAGAACUUCGCUUGGAGCUCGGCCGCGGACCGAGUGGACCGCCCAGAAUCUGAUUUGCCGUUCCAGGAAAGGAAAUCAAAUCUUGGAAAAAUUCAAAGCCUCCAACAUCCUCUCGAAAAAGGACCGGAUUUUCAUCACGCACCUGAUCGUUGAUGAGUUUACGGACGAAUUCGGUAAGCUUACCCGAGAAGAGCUUAUCAGAAGGUCUGCGGAAUUGUCUGCCUUAUUUCCAACAACCGACCAGCACAUAUGGUAUCAACCUGCAUUUUAUCGAGAUGCGAGUGGCAAAAAAAAUUAAACUAGGACGUGUGGCGAAAGGUUGUUUAUACGACCGGAAAUAACAAUUACCUAUCGGGCGGCGCUAAGACGACAAAAAAUCUACCAGGACCAUCAGAACAACGUACGAACUCCAAUCUUCAGCUGGACGUUACCAUCACGGAAGAUGCAGUGAUCGCUUAUCAGGAGAUCACUACCGAAGGUUACCAGCUUGUGAAAUUGGACUUCCAGCAGAAAUUUCCCGAGAAAGU